rnacentral:rRNA from 1 species
GACGAACGCUGGCGGCGUGCUUAACACAUGCAAGUCGAACGGAAAGGCCCUGCUUUUGUGGGGUGCUCGAGUGGCGAACGGGUGAGUAACACGUGAGUAACCUGCCCUUGACUUUGGGAUAACUUCAGGAAACUGGGGCUAAUACCGGAUAGGAGCUCCUGCUGCAUGGUGGGGGUUGGAAAGUUUCGGCGGUUGGGGAUGGACUCGCGGCUUAUCAGCUUGUUGGUGGGGUAGUGGCUUACCAAGGCUUUGACGGGUAGCCGGCCUGAGAGGGUGACCGGCCACAUUGGGACUGAGAUACGGCCCAGACUCCUACGGGAGGCAGCAGUGGGGAAUAUUGCACAAUGGGCGGAAGCCUGAUGCAGCAACGCCGCGUGCGGGAUGACGGCCUUCGGGUUGUAAACCGCUUUCGCCUGUGACGAAGCGUGAGUGACGGUAAUAGGUAGAGAAGCACCGGCUAACUACGUG